GCUUCUCAAGUAGUGAAACAAAGCGCUUCAGGUGUUUGUCUGUCCUUCAUUAUCUCCCCCACCCUUCUCAAUCCCUCUGUAUCCUAUAGAAAAGAAAGGAAAAAAAGGAAAAAGUUUACCAAGAGUGGUGGAUUUCUCUGCAGGCUCCAAGCCCCAGUAAUAACCCUGGUGCCAAUUAAAGGAGACAGACAGAGCAAGAGUGCACUUGUGGUGUCAAGGAUCCAACUCUGGACCUUGUGUUGAAAUGUCCAGUACUUUGUCCACUGCUCCACCUCCUGGGCCUCUGCUCUGUAGUUUGUGGUGCAGACAAGAGAGUUUCUGGGAUUUGCAGACCCAUGAAGUCUACUCAUAACACUCAUUUGUAGACAGGUUCUUUAAUGUAGAUUAUUACAUUCACACACACAUACACACACACACACACACACACACACUCUUAUAAUUCAAGAUCAUGCAUACUAACACUGACUAUGUUUAAGUGGUUUAUUAGAUUGUACAAUCACUUAUUACAAAAAGGGUUUUUGAAAAAGUACAUUAAAAAAAUAGAAAAUAAAGUUUUGGGGAAUUCCAUGAUCAAAACACAGUUAUUGGGCCCAAUUUCUUCUAUCACACAUUUUCCCUAAGCCUUUGCUGAUGGUAUCACACCUUAGCAGCAUCCUCCUGUCCUACCUGAGUUUCCAUGGCACUGUUUGAGUACUGAUCACACAUGAUUAUAUUGCCAUUUACGGGGAGUUAUGUCUGGGACAGAAUCCAGUGUUCAGAGGUGAAUACUGUGAAAGAGCAUGUAUUUAGAAAUCUCAACCCAUAGGUUAUCAUCUAGCCCAUUUGAUCAUCAGUUUCCUUAUUCUUGUUUCUUUUUUUAUAGAUUUUCAUUGGUGAUUUAUUAUUAAUUUACAAAAUUACAAGAUGCCAGAGUACAACUCCACACUGUUCCCACCACCAGAAUUCUGGAUCCCCAGUCUCACCAUUGUAAGCUACAGCAGUUCUCCAAAGUUGCAGAUAUGGGUCAUCCUGGGGCGCCCCGCCUCCCUGGCCACUGGAAGCAGAGACUGGGAUGGCUCCUAGGGGUCCUAUGGGGGCCCUGGCAAUGAAGACUCCAAGUUGCAGAUGCUACAAUUACGCCAACCUGGCUUCCCUGGGCAGACAACCUCACCAAUGUGUCCUGGAACCCCGCCUCUCCAGAAACCUGCCCCACUGAGAAGUAAUAGAGACAGGCUGGGAGUAUGGAUCAACCUGCAAAUAACCAUGUUCAGUGGAGAAACAAUUGCUGAAGCCAGACCUUCCACCUUCUGUACCCCAUAAUGAUCCUGGGUCCAUGCUCCCACGGCAAUAAAGUAUAGAAAAAUUUCCAGUGGAGGAGACAGGAUGUGGAACUCUGGUGGUGGGAAAUGUGUGUAAUUG